CGCCCGGUGGUGUAAUGGUAGCACGUGCACCCGGUAUGGGUGAAACGCGGGUUCAACUCCCGCCUGAGGUCGA